rnacentral:tRNA from 1 species
GGGGCAGUAGCUCAGUAGUAGAGCUCCCACUUCGUAUGCGGGAAAACCUGGGUACGAUUCCCGGAUGCAUCC